AACGCACCUUGCGCUCCUUGGUAUUCCGAGGAGCAUGCCUGUUUGAGUGUCAUUAAAUUCUCAACCUCACGAACUUUGUUGUGUGAAGGCUUGGAUGUGGGGGUUUGCAGGUCCGCACUCGUGUGGUCUGCUCCUCUAAAACGUAUUAGUGGGUUAGUCCCCUAAUCUAUUGGUGUGAUAAUUAUCUACGCCGUGGAUUUGGAAGGCUAUCAUAGACCUGCUUCUAACCGUCCUCUGGACAACUUUGACAAUUUUGACCUCAAAUCAGGUAAGACUACCCGCUGAACUUAA
rnacentral:misc_RNA from 1 species